UACGUAGGGUGCAGGCGUUAAUCGGAAUUACUGGGCGUAAAGCGUGCGCAGGCGGUUUGCUAAGACAGAUGUGAAAUCCCCGGGCUUAACCUGGGAACCGCGUUUGUAACUGGCAAGCUAGAGUGUGGCAGAGGGGGGUGGAAUUCCAAGUGUAGCAGUGAAAUGCGUAGAUAUUUGGAGGAACACCGAUGGCGAAGGCAGCCCCCUGGGCUAACACUGACGCUCAUGCACGAAAGCGUGGGGAGCAAACAGG
rnacentral:rRNA from 1 species